UGAAAACUGGAUCACAACCCACAGCGUGUUCUAUUGUUCAAGUGCAAUAUGGAUGUGUUGGCUUCCCAGUCUGCAGCUCUUCAAGCGUUCGUGCUACCGGAGGUUGUGGUAACGGACCAUGACAACUGGAUCACAACCCACAGCAUGUUCGACUGUUCAAGUGCAAUGUGAGUACUCCGAAG